rnacentral:rRNA from 1 species
AAUGAACGCUGGCGGCGUGCUUAACACAUGCAAGUCGUACGAGAACGCUUCAGCUUGCUGAAGCUAGUAAAGUGGCGUACGGGUGAGUAACGCGUGGGUAAUCUACCUUCGAAUUGGGGAUAACGUUGCGAAAGCGACGCUAAUACCGCAUGACAUCCUGCCUUUGAACAGGCGGAGAUCAAAGCCGGGGAUCGCAAGACCUGGCGCUUGAAGAGGGGCCCGCGCUCGAUUAGCUAGUUGGUGGGGUAACGGCUCACCAAGGCGACGAUCGAUAGCCGGCCUGAGAGGGCGGACGGCCACACUGGGACUGAGACACGGCCCAGACUCCUACGGGAGGCAGCAGUGGGGAAUUGUUCGCAAUGGGCGCAAGCCUGACGACGCAACGCCGCGUGGAGGAUGAAGAUCUUCGGGUCGUAAACUCCUGUCGACCGGGACGAAACGUUCGGGGGUGAAUAAUCCCUGGACUUGACGGUACCGGUGGAGGAAGCCCCGGCUAACUCCGUG